AGUUACCAGCACGUUAUGGUGGGCACUCUAAGGAGGACUGCCGGUGACAAACCGGAGGAAGGUGGGGAUGACGUCAAGUCAUCAUGGCCCUUACGGCCUGGGCUACACACGUGCUACAAUGGUCGGUACAAAGGGUUGCCAAGCCGCGAGGUGGAGCUAAUCCCAUAAAACCGAUCGUAGUCCGGAUCGCAGUCUGCAACUCGACUGCGUGAAGUCGGAAUCGCUAGUAAUCGUGAAUCAGAAUGUCACGGUGAAUACGUUCCCGGGCCUU
rnacentral:rRNA from 1 species